CAAAGCACUUUGAAGAGAGAGUUUAAAGACGGGACGUGAAACCGGUGAAGGUGGAAACGGAUAGAGUCGGCGUAUCUUUCAAUUAUUCAGUUACAUUAUUUUUAUGUUGUGACCUCUGAGCUCCAGAUUGGGACAGAGGGAAUCAGCAUAAUUUUUUGUGGUGCAUUUACUUGAUUGGUGCUUGGGGAUGUUUGAGGCAGAUUUGUUUCCGUCGUUUUGAGGCCAGCUUGCUGGUACCCAAACGGUGUUAGCAUUUUUUGUCUUGGGCAUUUGAGUAUGGCUCACGUGUAUUUAUUGGACAGAUCUGAGUGUAAGUUACGGUCGCAUGCGACACGUGCUUUUCAAUUAGUUCGGUCCAGUUAAUGCUCUCGUACUCGUUCCCCAUGUAAAAGCCGGUCAUCUAUCCGACCCGUCUUGAAACACGGACCAAGGAGUUUAUCGUGUGCGCAAGUUUUUGGGUGUUAAAAACUUAAAAGCGAAAUGAAAGUAAAUGACUCUUUAGAGUCUGAUGUGCGAUCUUGUAAAAAAGUGCAGCAUGGCCCCAUUCUAACUGUUUACAGUAGGGUGGCGGAAGAGCUUACGCGGUGAGACCCGAAAGAUGGUGAACUAUUCCUGAGCAGGACGAAGCCAGAGGAAACUCUGGUGGAAGUCCGAAGCUGGUUCUGACGUGCAAAUCGAUACGUCGUGACUUGGCGAUAGGGGCGAAAAGACUAAUCACAC
rnacentral:rRNA from 1 species